UGGGGGCUGUGGAGGGGAAGUUGCGGAUGUUUCCUGUUCCUUUUGGAAGCUGCCGGUGUUUUCCGUGCAUUUGUGGGAGCCCGUGGUGUUCCUUGUGCCCUCGCGGCGAGGAGGCUGCGGCGGGCAAAUUCCCGGGGUUUCCUUUGUCCUUUCAGAGGCAGAUUACGGUGGCGUGGCUGCAUGUAAACACCCGCAUGUCGUGUAGCCCUCGCUCGCGGUCGCGAUGCCUUGAGGUUGAAUUGUCUGUCCCCAGGCUGAAUUCCCCUCGCCUUUUGUAAACACAACCAGUGCCGUCACGUAACUUAUACAGUAGGAGCUGCUUAAUAAAAGAAUUCAAGAAGAAUCGCGCAAGGUAUCGCAGAAACAAGCAUGCGUUAGGGAGCCGAAAUGGGCCGCGUCCAUCCCAGCAGUUCUUGCUGUCCGCCCCGCCGGGAGCCCAUGGAGAGAGGAGCCGGCCUCGGCUCACACUGGAAGCUGCCAUAGCCCUCGGUAUUUAAGGCUUGAACGCCGCAGAAACUCAGCUCUGAGUGCACAGUUUCCGCUUUUCCUGACCCUGCAAGUGGCAGCGUUCACACAUUUGGAAAGCUGUGAGAAGGGGGAACUAGAGCAGGCAGGAUAGCGAAAGAUAGACUUCAAAGCCAAGGCAGCACUCAGGAUUGUGAAGACUCUAUUCCUCUAU